UUGGUACGAUAGCUUACAGCCAGGUCUUUGCCCAGCAUGGCGAGGGGAUAGAGGUACAUAGCUUGGUUCUGUCCUUGGAUAAUAGGAGACAUUGCUUGGGUGUUUCAGGGCACUGGGGAGCUGUAUAAUGAGUUUUCCUUCUGCUCUGCCUGUCGCUGGCAGUUGUCUGAGAGAGUGUGUGUUGAAGAAAACAGAAGAGAAGAGGUGCAGGACGGGUCAGGAUGCUGUGGACUCUGCAGAUGUAUGCGUCUAUAGGUUUCCCUCAGGGCUGACUGAAGACCAGACAAAAACAUUCGAGGCACCAGGAUCCUAAUACACAGCUUGUCUUUUUUUUAUGCAUCUCCUUUGGUUCUCAAUCAGUCCAUCAGUUAUUCAUCUUCGUCCUCCUUUUUGGUGCUUUUCCACGGGUUAUUUUGGAAGCCACCCAGAAGAGAAAAUGAGGUCCAGGUUGCCUCAAGCCGCUUUGCAGCCCUUUAUUCUAGGACUGUUGCUGUCACUGGUGGACGCCAAAGGAACCUUCUAUGGAGGAGGCCAUGGGAACAGAUACAACCUGUACAAGUCUGGAGUCAACUCACACUACACCCCGGGCAAACCCAUGGGCCGCCACAAAAACCACUGUGCGUAUGUGGUCCAGAAGAACAUCACAUGUACGAUUGAGGACGGCAUGGCCACCUAUGUGAAGGCAGAGUACACCACCAAGUGCAUCUGGGGGCAGAAGUGUCCUGUCGUCAUGUACCGGACCUUCUACAAGCCUAAGUAUAAGGUGGGCUAUAAGAGAAUUACUGCGCUGGAGUGGAGGUGUUGUCCUGGCUACUCUGGGGAGAACUGCUACGAUGGACCCACCUCUCUGCCCCCUUUCAAAGGGGGUGCCCCACACCGACCAGGGAUCAAGGGGUACCCCCAUGGGCACCCCCAACCUCCCCUGAUCCAAAAACCUGUUCCUGGUGGGUCUAAUCUGGAGCCAGGGAGCCCCUUCCCAAAUCAGCCUAAUAGCAGACCCAUCCCCACUGGACAACUGCCCACCGGGAACGGCAAACCCAACUAUGUUGGUGGAGACCGUCUCGAUCGUAUGGAGGAAGACCUGCUUCGUCUGACCCAGGAUCUGGACAUUCUGAACGGGGUGAUGGCCAGCCUAGAAGACCGCCUGCACCUCUCUCUCCGGGAGGACACAAAAAAUAUGCUGGGCUCCUUGCUCUCCACCAUCCCCCGUCUUUCAGACACCUCUGUUGGCUUUGGGGUGAUCCCAGACGGGACCCCAGAUGGCCUGGAGGGGGGAGAGGGACUCCCUGGGUUCGGAGACCUGGCUGGGAGGGUGACAGAGGUAAAGGAUGAGCUCAAAGCCAAAGGACAUGUGCUUGAGGAGAUACAGGGCAUGGUUCUGGGCCAUGAAGGGCAGUUGAAAAAGCUGUUGGAAGCUGCGACUGGCAGGCCCAUCACUGGGUCAGUCUCUCCCUCCACCCUGGAGGAGCUGCUGGAUGCUAAACUAGCAGGUGUCCGCGCUGACAUCCUGGACGGCUUUGAGAGGCGUCUGUCUGGCCUGGAGAACCACUGUGAGGAGAGGAUAGGAGAGGUUCAGAGACAGUGCCAUAAUGAACACAUGAACGGCCAGGAGCACAUACAGCAGUCUCUGGACGGCAGAGAAACUGGACUGAGAGAGGAGCUGGGUACCCUGCAGGCCCAGAUACAGGGACUGACCCUCACUGAGAGCUGCUGUGGACAGCAGGUGAACAGCCUGUCGCAGAGGAUGUUGAUGCUGGAGGAGUCAGUGAAGGGCUUAAAAGAGUCCCAGCUGGAGCUUCAGGCUUCUCUCACUGACCAGACCAUCCACAUUGAGACCCUGAUAGAGGCCCGUCUGGAAGACAUAGAUGCCAGGCUCAAUGUUACCGAGUCUGGGGAUGUAGGGGUUGGCAAGGUGCCUGGGGGUCUGGAUGGCUUCAAGACCCUGCUGAAGGACAAGCUGAAGUCCCUGGAGGAGAGGGUGUUUGUGGCUUUGGAGGAGCUGAGUAACACCACCGCCUCAGCUCUGCUGAAGAGUCAGGUGAUGCCCGCCCUGGAGACAGAGAUUGAGUCGGUCAGGAGGAGGGUGGAAGGAGACCUGGACUGCAUCCAGAGGAAACUCACAGACCUGGAGCUCCUCUGCACCUCCUCCUGCUCCCACGCCACUCCCCCUGGAGGAGGCGCACGGACAGGCCUAGUGGAGGAGUGUGAGGCGGUGGAGAAGAAGGUGUCAGGCCGUCUGGACUCCCAUGCUGACCAGCUGGACCGUCUCAAUACUACCCUGCAGACCCUUCUGAGCCGCAUUGCCCAGGAGGACGAGGAAGGCUCUGUCCAGGGAGAGAUCACUCUCCUCAAGAUCAAAGUCAACUCAGUCAACCGCACCCUGAAGGGCCUGAGGGACUCUGUUAGCCUGUUCAGUAAGGAAGUGGGCCAUGCUAAUGCCACGUGGACACACAGGGAGAAUCAGCUAGCCACCCAGGUCCAGGGUAUCACCCAGCUGGUGGGGCGCCAGGCCUACCUCCUGGGGGCCGGGGAGCACCGACUAGCCCAACUGAAGGGGGAGCUGGUGAGCAUGAGGAGGAGACUGGCUGGGGAGCUGCAGGGCUGCCGGAGUACGGCCCUGGGGGUGCAGAGGGAGGUGGAGGAGGUGGAUAGUCGAGUGGCCCAGGUGGAGGGACAGUGUGGUGGCCUGGCGGAGCUGGCGGACAACCUGGAGAGGAUCAGGACAGAGCUGGAGAGACACUCAGUCUUGCACCUGUCACAGGUCAAAGGAACGAUGGCCAGUCACUCUACACAGCUGAAGGGAGAAAUGAAAGACUGUGUCGGAAAGGGCUCAGCCAAUCAGAGGGGAGACCAGUAACACUUGUGCUACGGAGAAAGACGUAUGUCCUCCCAUCUUCUGCUGUCCUUCAAAUGCUCAAAUGGGAAACUUGAGAACAGAUUUAUUCCUGCAUUUUCAGAUCAGUGAAGGAGAGGAGAUGAGUAGAAUAGGCCAUUUGAAGCUAUUGAAAUGCACCCUUGGUUGUAUAGUUGGGCAAUAUUUUCCCUCGAGUUUUUCUUCAAAAGGGGUAUUUAGUUUUUUUUUAUAGUUUUGUUUUCACAUUUUAUAUUGAUAUGAACUGACUUUUUAACUUAUUUGAAGAAAAGAUGACUUCAUUGUUAUACUGUAUUAGACAUAUUUGUGAAAAAUGAACAACAAAAACAAAGCAAAUGAUAUGCCACUGGGCACAGACGUCAAUUCAAUGUCUAUUCCACAUUUGUUCAACGUAAUUUGAUUGAAAUGAAGUGGAAACAACGUUGAUUCAACCAGUGUGUGCCCAGUGGGUUGGGACUAUGGGUUUCUACAAUGCAAGUCUACUCUCUGUGUGGACUGUCCUUUAAAAAUACUGUAUGUCAAUAUGAAAGGUGCUAUACAUUUGGUGAACAUUCAUUUUUUAGUAUUUCUCCUUAAAGGUCCCGAACAUCAUCAAAAUGACUGUUGCUUCUACAUUGAUAAAGUUGGAUCAUAAAGUCACUGGUCCCCUCCCCCAUGUCAAACGCUUGGAUUCAGGAGGCAGGACAGAUACUCCUUCCUCUAUCUCUGGACAGGCAUUACCAAGGCUUUACUUCUGGCUUGAUGCAACAUCACAUGAAGCAGGAAGUGUAAAACCCCAACGGUAGUGUCUUAUCAUAUCAACAUAUUAUGUUCUGCCUUAAAACCGACAUCACGUGCGCCUACGCCUUGAUUUGGUCUUGUUAACAAACCAUAAGCCAGUAUCUCGCUCAAACAGAACGUAUGAAGACAUCAGAUAGCCGUGGCUGCUUUUCAUUUCGGGUGGGCAGGCGGCAGCUUUACCAAUGGGGGAGAACAUUCGAUGAGUCGUGCCAAGAUGCUAGUCCUGAAUACGGACGCCAUCAUAGACAGUGGAUCUUGCAAGCGCUGACCGUAAUGCUACGUAGAGAGGCUCCUGGGUCUCUUCUUCAAUGAGAUCACCUUUGAUCCAGCUCCAUAGGUCUAAGUCACUCUCUGGUUCAAGGCAAAGGAAGAGAACCAGUGGCUACAGGCCUCAAGAGCUGGGGUGGGGUUUACCCAGAUCUGACACCAGGGGGCUUCAAACCCAGGCCUUCAGGUCAGUACCACCACACGUUGUAUUCCACCUCUUCCAUCAGGCUUGUAAACCUUUCGACUUGUAUUGGAACAUUCUGGCCUACAAACUCAGCCUAGACAUUCUGAGCAGGUCUCAGUGCUUGAAAACAAACCAUCUUUUCAUGCAAAAACAACAGUCUCUUGUGGAUGGCCCCUGGCAUUGACAGGCUCCGCCAUUUCAAUAAAACACACUCGGAGAGGAAGACUUUAGAAACUAGCACCUCCAAAUUGGCUACAAUAGGUAAACACGUGCUCCAGGUUGGGUGAUGUUAAAAAGAGGAAGGUUGGAUGAACCAAUAAGAGGGUACUUCCUGGAGCUAUCUAAAUACAGAUUGGUUUCCAUGUAGCACGUAAUUAGUGACUCUCCCAAUCUGAGGUCUAGCAGAUCAGCAUCACUGAUCACAGAUCAGGAAAUUGAAGUUGCUUAGUGGGAGGAAGUGACAUCAAGCACAUUCAGAUUAGGCAUCUCCUUCCACAAUGUCGGUUCAGCAGAUUAAUAAACAUCCCAAUUCAACCCAUUGACCCUAAUCUCUAUGUAUUUCCGUAAAUCUGACAGGAUUGGAAAGGUUUAAGCAAUAUGGCAGACAAUCCAACUAGCAAAUUAAAAGGCAUGGUGGAGCUGUUACCAUUUUGGUUAUAUUUAUACAAUUCUUUCAGAUCUAAGUGUAUAGAGUUUUGGGCUAGCAGUUGAUUUUGGACAUCCUUUCACAUAGUCUGGACUCUUCCACUAAAUUUCAGUGCUUCUAAGACAGGCUGUCUCACAGCAAGUCUCCUCAUCAUCACAAUAUCAACCACAACAAAAUCCAUCACAGGAACUAUUCCAUAAAAUAGUAAAUAAAUAUUAUCAUGGGACCUGAAAAUGAACGGUUAUUUCAACUGUUGUCUUUUUCCCAUGUGAUACAUCUGAAGAAAGUCAAUGUUUCAACAUGGUGAUGUGUGUGAAAUGAAGUAGCUGUAUAUGGAGGCUAAGGGAACUGCUCCGGGUGUCGUAGGUGUGGAGUUAGACGCAGGAAACAGAGAGUGCAAAGAUGAAGCCAGUGACUGAUGUGGUGUUCUCCUCAAUGCCAUCGGAAGAAUCCCGGAACAUAUUCCAGUCUGUGAUAGCAAAACAGUCCUGCAGUUUAGCAUCUGCUUCAUCUGGCCACUUUUUUUAUUGAUCUAGUCACUGGUGCUUCCUGCUUUAUUUUUGCUUGUAAGCAGGAAUCAGAAGGAUAUAGUUACGGUCAGAUUUGCCAAAUGGAGGGCGAGGGAGAGCUUUGUACACCUCUCUGUGUGUGGAGUAUAGGUGGUCCAGAGUUUUUUCCCUCUGGUUGCACAUUUAACAUGCUGAUAGAAAUGAGGUAAAACGGUUUUAAGUUUCCCUGCAUUAAAGUCCCCGGCCACUAGGAGCACCGCCUCUGGAUGAGCGUUUUCCUGUUUCAUUAUGGUCGUAUACAGCUCAUUGAAUGUGGCCCUACUGCCAGCGUUGGUUUGUGGUGACAAAUAGACAGCUACGAAGAAUAUAGAUGAAAAAUAGUGUGGGCUACAGCUUAUCAUGAGAUAGUCUACCUCAGGUGAGCAAAACCUCAAGACUUCCUUAGAUUUCGUGCACCAGCUGUUGUUUACAAAUAUACACAGACCGCCAACCCUAUCUUUCCAGAGGCAGCCGUUCUAUCCUGCCCGCCAGGUCUAUGUUAUUCAUGUCGUCGUUCAGCCAAGACUCGGUGAAACAGUUUUUAAAGAGAUGGGUGGGGCUAAAGCUUAACAGGGUGUGAACGAUGAUAAAUGGGUGUAGAGAAGGAAGAGAUCUCCAGUAAGUGUACAAAAACAUUCACAGGCAAUUUUCUCAAAAGUGGGGUUUAUAAGUUGAUCAACUUUCAAAGCAAAACUACUUUGACAUUGUUCCUCAAUUGCAGGGUAUUAUAUACCAUUUCUAGCUCUGAGUCUUUAGUUUUGUCCAAUGUAAAAAAAACUAUUUCAAAUUUUGCUACAUGAGCCGAAUCGAGGUGGUCGGUCACAUAUGGUGUUUAGUUUAGGCUGCUAUGGUGUCCACUUUGAAUCAGGUCCAAAUGUAGCAUGCCAUGGGUCUAGCUGUUAUCCCAGUCUAAAUAUAGCCCAGAAUGUCCUGUUGAUGCUGGGUGAUGAGGGGUGCUGUGAGUCCCCUGCACAUGACACAGAGGAGCCCACUGUCUCUGAGGGAAACCCACGGCACGAGGUGCAGCACGUAUCACCGGCACAUACACAUACUGCACGGACACACGCUGCACAGGCACACACACAUGCUGCACGGACACACGCUGCACAGGCACACACACAUGCUGCAUGGACACACACUGCACAGGCACGCACACAUGCUGCACGGACACACGCUGCACAGGCACACACAUGCUGCA